rnacentral:ncRNA from 1 species
AACACAAAGGUCUGGUCCCAGCCUUGAAAUCAAUUGCUACUUUAUUUAUACAUGCAAGUCUCCGCACCCCUGUGAAAACGCCCUUUAACUCCCUUUAGGAACGAGGAGCUGGUAUCAGGCUCAAUUAAUUAGCCCAAAACACCUAGUCAUGCCACACCCACAAGGGUAAUCAGCAGUAAUUAACAUUGAAAAUAAGCGCUAGCUUGACUCAGUUAAAGUAUAAAGGGCAGGCAAAUACGGUGCCAGCCGCCGCGGUUAUACCAUGAGGCCCAAGUUGAUUUCUACCGGCGUAAAGCGUGAUUUAAGUAAAACAAAAAUGCAGUUAAACUGUCAUUAAGUUGUGAUAAACUUAUGUACAAGGAAACCCAAAAACGAAGGUCACUGCACCCCAAACAGCUUGAACUCACUACAGCUAAGACACAAACUGGGAUUAGAGACCCCACUAUGCUUAGCCCUAAGCCUUUAAUUACAUCUCAAACGCCAGGGAACUACGAGCAAAGCUUAAAACCCAAGGGACUUGACGGUACCCCAUAUCCACCUAGAGGAGCCUGUCCUAUAAUCGAUAACCCCCGUUCAACCUCACCACCUUUAGCUUAUCAGCCUGUAUACCUCCGUCGUCAGCUUACCGCAUGAGUGCCCUAAAGUAAGCUUAAUGUCCUCACCCGUCAAUACGUCAGGUCAAGGUGCAACUAAUAAGAUGGGAAGAGAUGGGCUACACUUUCUAAGAUAGAACAUACGGAGAACUAAUAUGAAAUCUAGUUUAAAGGCGGAUUUAGCAGUAACAGGGAUAAUAGUGCCCCUUUUAAUCAGGCCCUGGGGUGUGUACACACCGCCCGUCACCCUCCUCGCAGCUCUCGUACAAGUAUUUAACAAAACCUAGUAUUGUAGAGGAGGUAAGUCGUAACAUGGUAAGUGCACCGGAAGGUGCGCUUGGAACAAA